AAUGUGUGAGGUGGUGCUAUGUAGCAGGAACCCCUCUUGCUUUGCAAAUAGUUUUUUGUUUGUUUUCCUUUUUGCCCAAUAGAGCCCUGCUCUACUGACCCUUCAAUGUGCCCGUGUGCCUAAAUAUUCCUGGUCGUGUGAAAAGAACCCAGGUAUUAGCUGAACUAAGGAGCACAAUUCUGCAACAUUUUGGCACCCAAACACGGGGCUUGAGAAAUGAAUGCAAUUGGAGAAACUGGUUGUUUUACCAGGCGUUGAUUGGAAAUGUGUGCUUCCCUUUAAGCAGUCAAGCUCAACUUGCAGAACUGAUGGGAACCCCUUGGGAAAACUGGCCUCAAAUGUUUGUCUACACAGUCCACAUACAGGGUUCUUAACCUGCGGUGAGUAAAGAAUGUCACUUUCCAACAGGCCCAGAUAUCAUAUGCUCUUGGGACCUCAAGAAGAGAGGAGUUUACCCAAUUCAUAGGUGUGUGAGGAUAAAAACCUAGGGCUGGGCUCAGCUUUAAAUGGUCUUAUCUGAGAUUCUUUGUGAAACAGAUUUUCAUGAAAGCCAAUCUAGAGGGCCUACGUAGAAAUAAUUGUUUUUGCUGCACUUUAUGCACAUAAUCAAGCCAAUUAUAAGACUAAAGUCUAUAUUGCAAGCAACACACUCCUAUUAUGAUUUGUUUUUAACAGAAAUGAGGACGAGACAGAGAGAAAUUAUGUUUCAAAACUUAUCAUCAUUAGUUUCUAGACUUAUUAUUUCUUUUUAAGUUUUUACCUACAUUUUAGACUGACCCUGCUUGUGCCUGUGAACCAACCAACAAUCUCUGGCUGCAGCUCAGAAAGGACAAAAGAGAAUGGGUAAUGUAAAAACCUGGAUCAGUAUUUUAGUUCUGAACAAUUAUCCUGCAAAUCCUGCCAGCUGAUGGGAAUAAAUAGGAUGCCCAUGAUCCGGAGGUUUACUUUUUGGGAAAGUAAAACCAAGGGAGCUAACCAAAGUAAAACCCCAUACACCCAAAUCUGAGCAAGCAUAACUAUAGCCACCAGUUAUCUGGGUGUGUCACAAGACACUCUUUUCUUUCCUUUGUUGGAGGAGAACUCAUUUCCACAGCUUCACUUUAGCAUUAUGGCUUAUGUUAAGGAGUCUAUGCAACUUCCAUGCUGAGACACGUUUUUGGUCCCAAAGUUAAUUCCAAGCUUUGUGUCAAAGGCCUAAGAAAACUGGAUCUUAGGGAUCCAGAAGCCAGACAAUAAUGAAAGUCAAAAGGCACAGCACAGGUGAGCAUGACUAAUUCCCGCUGAUUAAGCCAAGCUUCCUGUUUCAUGGAUAAAGGUCAUGCUAGUAUCCAUGGCAUAAAUGAGGUCUAGAGAACUAAAAGGCUACUGCCAGCAGGGGAGAUAGGGAGGACAUAAGACAGGGCAGCUAUUCCCAUCCCCUAGACCCCCUGUUAACAUGGAUGAAAGCCACUUUGACACCCAUGGGUGGCACCCUGUCACAGUUGGUGGGACUCAGCAAUACAGGGACAGAGGAAAGAAAGAGGAACAACUCACUUUCUCUCCCUCACACACCCUGAGUAUUUGCUAGAAAAAGAAAGGAACCAGGCACACAUGCUCCCCUAUUUCUAGAUGAGUAGCCAUUCAUCUUUAGUCUGCACCCUUUUAGAACAUGUCCUGAACCCCUGGGACUCUUCUGAAAAAAAUGCCUUCUUUUUUCCUUUUUCUUCCUCUGUCCUCUAUUCACUGGUAGGUAGGUAAUGGUGUCCCAUACCACAGAACACUUCCCUCAGAUGCAUCCUUCUAACUGGGAGGAGUUAAUUUCUCAAACCGUAGACUAAUUGGCUUAGGAUUAGGUUCAGGGGAAGGGAACACAGAAACAUGACAUGCCAGCAAAAGGGUAAAAGGUUUUUUUUCCCCGUUGGGCUUUUGGCCUCUCUCUCCCUGUGCAAACUGGUAAAAGGCGUCUGGAUUUUCUAGUUGUCCUUACCCACUGCUUGUUUCGUUUUGAUACAUAUUUUCUAAUAACCUGUUUGUCUCUUCUCACUUUUAGGCCAUCAAACUCCAGUCUGCACCUGGAGCCUUGGAUGAUGGCCUUUUUUACUGGGAACCCUGAAAUAGGCCUCUGAGGGAAAUCUGAUUGCCAUUUUCCCAAAACAGCUUCCCUGACAAUAGGAAGCAAUUAAGAUUGGUCUUCAUCCUUAUCUUUAUCCUUAUUCUAAUGGCAGUUAGAGGUACUUCUUUAGAGGGGGGAAUGAGACAGCCAAAUGCCUAGGCAGAUAAAAAGGUGUACCUGGAAAAUUUCCAACCCGUCACACAAGUGUUUACAUCAGAUGCUUUUGUGUAGAUGAGGGAAACUUCCCAGGGCUUGUCUGGGUAUGCCCACAGUGGACUGGAGCCCAAAAUGCACACUGGAGGAAGUGGAUGGAGCCACGUGGAUGUCAUGCCUUAUGCAGGGGAGGAGCCUGCUCUCUUCAGCUCCUGUGGUAAUGUGGGAAUCGAUCUGUGAGGUGAGGACCUGUUAGCAGGAACCCCUCUUGCUUUGCUGAAAGUUUUAUUUUUCUUUUUGCCCUAUAAAACCCUGUUCUACUAACCCUUCAAUAUGUCUGCAUUCCUAAAUUUUCCUGGUCAUGUGACGAGAACCUAGGUUUUAGCUGAACUAAGGAGCAAAAUUCUGCAACAUAAAGUCAAAGAAAACUAUGCCUAUAUCCAUUAAAUCAAAUGUUAAAAAGCAAA
rnacentral:sRNA from 1 species